UUGGAAGCGUAUCUGCACUGUCUUUAGUAUUUUCACCAUAUCUCCCUUAUUCGACGUCAUAUUGAGCUGAUUGAAGUGGCCUAGGAAAGCUAAUUUAACGUGCUAAAAAUUUUUCUGAAAUAGAAAUUUUGAAAUUUUCUCGUUUUCCAAGCAAAAAAUGGCCCGCAAUCCAAGGCUGAAAAUCUGCAGAAUUGAUGAGGCGAAUUCAGUAUGGAUUUUUCUUUCCUUGUGAAGAUGGCUUGAAAGAGAGGAAGAAAAAGAGUUUAUGCAUGAAGGAAGAAGGGGGUAUUCGACCAAGGAGGCUGGAUAGAAAGGAUUAUUGAUUCUCUUCUUCUUUGGCCAUCAAGAGGGGGAAGUAACACCAAGAAAACGGAGGAGCAGAAUUACUGAGUUUUUCCUUCUUCCAAUUCCCUUCCAAUUUCUAGAUGAAACAUAGUCCAGACAUUCAUUUUAGGUCCAAAUGGUCGUUAUGGCAAAUGGAUGGGAGCCAAGAGCUGAGAUAAAGAUCUCUCGGUUUAACUCUUCCAAAGUAGGAAAUAUUGUCCAGGCAUUCAUUUUGAGGCCCAAAUGGUCUUUUCAUGUAUUGG